CAGCAGCCGCGGGAAUACGUAGGGUGCAAGCGUUAAUCGGAAUUACUGGGCGUAGAGCGUGCGCAGGCGGUGUUGUAAGACUGAUGUGAAAUCCCCGGGCCCAACCUGGGAACUGCAUUGGUGACUGCAACGCUGGAGUGCGGCAGAGGGGGAUGGAAUUCCGCGUGUAGCAGUGAAAUGCGUAGAUAUGCGGAGGAACACCGAUGGCGAAGGCAAUCCCCUGGGCCUGCACUGACGCUCAUGCACGAAAGCGUGGGGAGCAAACAGGAUUAGAUACCCCCGUAGUCCCUGUCUCUUAUAC
rnacentral:rRNA from 1 species